rnacentral:rRNA from 1 species
UAGGGAAUCUUCGGCAAUGGACGGAAGUCUGACCGAGCAACGCCGCGGGAGUGAAGAAGGUUUUCGGAUCGUAAAGCUCUGUUGUUAGAGAAGAACGUUGGUAGGAGUGGAAAAUCUACCAAGUGACGGUAACUAACCAGAAAGGGACGGCUAACUACGUGCCAGCAGCCGCGGUAAUACGUAGGUCCCGAGCGUUGUCCGGAUUUAUUGGGCGUAAAGCGAGCGCAGGCGGUUCUUUAAGUCUGAAGUUAAAGGCAGUGGCUUAACCAUUGUACGCUUUGGAAACUGGAGGACUUGAGUGCAGAAGGGGAGAGUGGAAUUCCAUGUGUAACGGUGAAAUGCGUAGAUAUAUGGAGGAACACCGGUGGCGAAAGCGGCUCUCUGGUCUGUAACUGACGCUGAGGCUCGAAAGCGUGGGGAGCAAACAGG